rnacentral:rRNA from 1 species
AGGUUAAGUUAUGAAGGGCGCAUGGUGAAUGCCUUGGUACUAGGAGCCGAUGAAGGACGGGACUAACACCGAUAUGCUUCGGGGAGCGGUAAGUACGCUUUGAUCCGGAGAUUUCCGAAUGGGGAAACCCAAUCAUCUUAGUCGAUGAUUGCCUGAGCAGUGAAUACAUAGCUGUCAGGCGGUAGACGCAGUGAACUGAAACAUCUAAGUAGCUGCAGGAAGAGAAAGAAAAUUCGAUUCCCUGAGUAGCGGCGAGCGAAACGGGAAGAGCCCAAACCAACGAGCUUGCUUGUUGGGGUUGUAGGACUGAACAUUUGAGUUACCAAAGUGCGACGUAGUUGAAGUCGUUGGGAAGCGACGCCAAAGAUGGUGAUAGCCCAGUAAACGAAACGUCACACUCUCAGUUCAGGAUCCUGAGUACGGCGGGACACGUGAAACCCCGUCGGAAUCCGCGAGGACCAUCUCGCAAGGCUAAAUACUCCCUAGUGACCGAUAGUGAACCAGUACCGUGAGGGAAAGGUGAAAAGCACCCCGGGAGGGGAGUGAAACAGUUCCUGAAACCAUGUGCCUACAAGCUGUCGGAGCACAUUUACGUGUGACGGCGUGCCUCUUGCAGAAUGAACCGGCGAGUCAUGAUUGCGUGCAAGGUUAAGGUGGAAAAACCGGAGCCGCAGCGAAAGCGAGUCUGAAAUGGGCGUACGAAGUACGCAGUUAUGUACCCGAAACCAGGUGACCUACCCAUGUCCAGGUUGAAGGUGCGGUAAAACGCACUGGAGGACCGAACCCGUAUCAGUUGAAAAUGGUUGGGAUGAGGUGUGGGUAGCGGUGAAAUUCCAAACGAACUUGGAGAUAGCUGGUUCUCUCCGAAAUCUCUUUAGGGGGAGCCUCGAGGUUUAGAAUCAUGGAGGUAGAGCACUGUUUGGACUAGGGGCCCGUCAUGGGUUACUGACUUCAGAUAAACUCCGAAUGCCAUUGAUUUUUACUCGGGAGUCACACGGUGAGUGAUAAGAUCCAUCGUGGAAAGGGGAACAGCCCAGAUCAUCAGCUAAGGUCCCUAAAUAUAUGCUAAGUGGAAAAGGAUGUGGAAUUGCACAGACAACUAGGAUGUUGGCUCAGAAGCAGCCAUCAUUUAAAGAGUGCGUAAUAGCUCACUAGUCGAGUGACUCUGCGCCGAAAAUGUACCGGGGCUAAGCAUAUUACCGAAGCUAUGGAUGCAUCC